AGCGAACGCUGGCGGCAGGCUUAACACAUGCAAGUCGAGCGCCCCGCAAGGGGAGCGGCAGACGGGAGAGUAACACGUGGGAACGUACCCUUUAGUUCGGAACAACCCAGGGAAACUUGGGCUAAUACCGGAUACGUCCGUAAGGAGAAAGAUUUAUCGCUAAAGGAUCGGCCCGCGUCUGAUUAGCUAGUUGGUGAGGUAACGGCUCACCAAGGCGACGAUCAGUAGCUGGUCUGAGAGGAUGAUCAGCCUCACUGGGACUGAGACACGGCCCAGACUCCUACGGGAGGCAGCAGUGGGGAAUAUUGGACAAUGGGCGCAAGCCUGAUCCAGCCAUGCCGCGUGGGUGAUGAAGGCCCUAGGGUUGUAAAGCCCUUCCGGCGGGGAAGAUAAUGACGGUACCCGCAGAAGAAGCCCCGGCUAACUUCGUGCCAGCAGCCGCGGUAA
rnacentral:rRNA from 1 species